UGUUAGUGAUAACGCUCAAUCUACAGCUCUCGUGGGAGUGUAAAGCGGUCGUUAGCAAAUAUAGAACCCAACCUGGGUUGGGUAUCGAUCCCACAGAGAAUAGCUUGGCCAACAAGCAAGAGAAAUUACUAGACUUUUAGUGCAAGUCUCGUAGGAAAGGGGGGAUUGUAGUAUGUAACCAAAACAAGAAUGUAAGAACUGAAAAUAGCAAAAUAAAGAGAGAUUGUCACGUGUGUUGUAAACAAUGAGAAUUGAGGCGUUGGGGUUAUGUCCACCUUCUGAGGUAUACGUCUCUAUUGGCUAUGAGUGUGUAGAGUCUUGACAUGUAAUUGCUUAUAGAGAAUUGUAGUCGAUGGUAAAUCCAAGCGUCUCUCGACCUAAACAAGGACUAUUUCACUUUAACUCUCUCGAGCUUAAAGCGUG
rnacentral:lncRNA from 1 species